AUUUAAAUAGUUUAUAUAAAAUAGUAGCUUGUGGAGUUAUAGAAGAUUUAGUCUUUAAAUA
rnacentral:tRNA from 1 species